rnacentral:tRNA from 1 species
AUUUAAAUAAUUUAAUUAAAAUAUUGAUUUGUGGGAUCAAAAAUAUGAGUAGAAUCAUUUUAAAUU